UUUGAACAUCGAAUUAGGGUUUUUGACGAAUGUUUUCUUCUCCGCCGACCGACGGUGCAUAUCUUCAAAAUAAUCUUCAAAUCAAGGUUUCUGUCACUUGAUUCCUUACAAUCACCAACCAUAUUUCUCAGCCGUAAUAGACAUUGGCGUUUUCAACUUUGGCGAUUUCAUCAGACGAUUUUAUCUACAUCUGUCUUAUCUUGAUCCUGGUAUGUUUGUCUGAAUUGUUCAUUUGUUUUUUCAAUCCAAAAUUUCUAUAGAUACUGAUGAUUUCAUCUAAAAUUCCUUAUUUUCCCAAUCAAUUAUUUUUCGAUUGAUUUUUGGGCCAACAAUCAUCCAUUAAUCUUCAUUGUUGUUGUUGUCGUCUUCUUCUUCUCAUAAUUCCCACUUUUCAAAAAGUAGCAUAAAAACCCACUUAAUUCCCUCUCCAAAUUUGCAUUUUGGGUUAUCAGAUUCGUAUGUUAUUUCGUCAAAUUUGAGAAAUUAAAGUAGAAUUACCAGUUUGUGUUCAGAUUAGGAUUGAAUUUUGGAUUCCGUUUGCGAAUUUUUUUCUUUAGACUGGUGAAUUUUGACGUAUUGAUCUGAAUUGAAUUAGGGUUAGGGUUAUAAUUAGGGUUUAGAUAGUUUUUUGUAUAAAGAAUUUUGAUGUGAUUAUGUGAUUAGCAUUGAAGGUGUUCAUGAGUAAGUAACGUUUGAUUAUCACUAACAUGCACACAAGAAUCAUUUCGAUCAUUUUGUAUGUGUUUCUACUGUUUUGUACAGUUUGCAGAUUAUCGCACACCAAGUGUUUGUUUAAAUGUCUAAGUUGUGUAGCAUGCUUAUGAUCUUGGCCAUAUCUCACUAUUUUAGUUGUCAUCCUUAGAUUGUCUGUUGAACCUUUAAUUUGAAAUCAAGAUUACAAACCCUCAUGUUGGAUCUUUAUUAAUUACGCGUCUUGCUUUGUUAUGAUCUAAUAAGCAUUUUGUAUUACUUCUAAAUAGCAUGGUGUGACCUUUGAAUUUGUUUGCAGAUUUGGGAUCUUUUUUUGUGAUAUUUUUUUUACUUUGUAAUUGUUGGUGCCUGGUGAUGGCUGCCAUAUUCAAGAUUUGAGCACAAGAAAGGUUAUCUUGUGCAAUGAGUUCUUCCAACUUUUGGUGUAUUCAAACUUUUUGUGAUAUUUUUUUUCACUUUGUAAUUGUUGGCAAGAGAUAGUGAUGAGAGAUUGAUGAUGAUAAUGAUGAUGGACACCAACCCGGCCUGUUUGUCAAACAAAUUGGGGAUGAGUUCAUGGCUAAUAAUCCUAGGCCUCCUGCACUAACUUCUGAUGCUCAAUUGAUGGUAAUAUUUUUUUUAUUUGUCUACAAAUGAUGGGUUUACCAGAAGCACAUUGUUGAGAAGUUGCAUAUUUUAUUUUUAUAUUGUGUCAAAUAGGACUAAAAAGAAUAAUAUGUAUUAGUUAAUGGGUUUUUGUUGUUUGGAAGGCAAUCCCAAAGAAGUGCAAUUUUGACCUGCUGGACCCAAGGAAAAGGUUUAUUUCACAUGGGUGAAUGUACGAGCUUACAUUGUUACGUGUGGUGGUUUGUGUCCAGGGAGGCUAUAGGGGCUUUUACUCAAAGAAUACGAUGGAAUUAAAUCCAAAAGUUGUUAAGGAUAUCCAUAAACAUGGUGGUACUAUUCUUCAAAUUUCACGUGGAGGCCAUGAUACUAACAAUAUGGUUGAUAAUAUCCAGGACCGUUGGAUAAAAGAUGUUGGAUUAUUUUUUUCCAUUUUUGCUGAAAAAGCUAAAUAAAGUGGAUGCUAUUCCCCGCUACAACAAUGUUGGUGGCAAAUCUGAACAGGUAACUCAUAAAAAUUUUGGAGUUUUAGGUAUAUAUAAUUGGAGAUGAUAUGUUGGUGGCAAAUAUGUUAUUCCAAUAAUCAUAUUUGGUUUCAGUUGGUUUUUCAGUUCCAAUAAUCAGUAUAUUGCAAGAUGUAAGUUUUCAUUUUUUUUAAAGGAAGUUGAAAAGUGUCUCCUUCCUGUGGCAGUAGUUGGGAUCCCCAAGACAAUUGAUAACUAUAUUGUUGUUGCAGGGAUAAAAUUUAUGUGGGAAAAUAUCAUACAGUCAAUCACCAAAGUUAGGUCAAGAGAUAAGGGACUCUAUUGCAUUCUUACACAUACCAUGGGUCUAGGAGAAAAAUUACAUGUAUCAUGAUAAUUUGCCUUUUGUGCCUAUGAAUUCCUUAAAUAUUUCGAAUAAAUACGAAGACAAUUGGGGUGAAAUUGGUAGUUUACUCUUACGUAAGCAAUUAGUUGUCUUACAUGUUAUAGCUUUUCUAUAUGCUGCUAUGAAAAGUGUAGACAUAGGAUUACAGUAAAAGUAUCAAUUUUGAAAUUGAUGGUAAAUCCUUUGCCUUAAAAGUCAAUGUUUAACUCCUCACCCUUACAAUGACAUAGUGACAUAUUACUAGCUUUGUUUUUCAACCAAGGGUCUUUAUUUUAACAUGUUUCAGGUCCAAAACUGACUUUGACUUAAAUGAUUUGCAGAUGAUCGAGCUCCUUGACAAGUUCAAAUACAAUUGGAGGUUAGGUGCUUCUUUGAUAAAUGACAUCAAACCGAUCAAGUC